rnacentral:tRNA from 1 species
GAGGGAUGGCCGAGUGGUUGAAGGCGGCGGUCUUGAAAACCGCUAUAUGGGCAACUGUAUCGUGGGUUCGAAUCCCACUCCCUCC